AUGCCCAAAAAAGACCUUCGGGAAAGGAAAAAAGGUUCUUUACUAAAACUACGGUUUUCCAGAAAAAGUUUACAAUCCCACCGAUUACUAUCGCUCGGCAUAUCUCCGGACAAUGUGGGAGACUGGCUUCGGGGCGUCUACCGCUUUGCAACCGAUAGGAAUGACUUCCAGAGGAAUUUGAUACUCAAUUUGGGACUCUUUGCUGCGGGAGUUUGGCUGGCUAGGAACUUGAGUGACAUUGACCUCAUGGCACCUCAGUCCGAGGUGUAGUUAGCCAAGGAGCCAAAUGGAAUCCUGUGCUGUACCCGAACCACCUAAAAACAGAGCCUAUGAUCUGUGACGACCACAAUGCCCUGAUGGUAGCUUAAAUUUGGUUCAAACGGGCACCUUCCUUUUCCUGUCUGGUUUC